rnacentral:lncRNA from 9 species
CACAUGUAGUAUGUUCAUUGCACCGCUAUUCACAAUAGCCAAGACAUGGAAACAACCUAAAUGUCUAUCGACAGAUGAUUGGAUUAAGGAGAUGUGGUAUAUACACAAUGGGGUACUACUAAGCCAUCAAAAAGAACAAAAUAAUGCCAUUUGCAGCAACAUGGGUGGAACUAGAGACUCUCAUACUAAGUGAGGUAAGUCAGAAAGACAAAUCCCAUAUGAUAUCACUUAUAUCUGGAAUCUAAUAUACGGCACAGAUGAACAUUUGCACAGAAAAGAAAUUUAUGGACUUGGAAAACAGACUUGUGGUUGCCGAGAGGGAGGGAGAGGGAAUGGGAUGGACUGGGAAUCUGGGGUUAAUAGAUGCAAACUAUUGCCUUUGGAAUAAGCAGCGACAUCCUGGUGUACAGCAAUGGGAACUGUAUUUAAUCACUUAUGAUGGGGCAUGAUGGAGGAUAAUGUGAGAAAAAGAGUGUAUAUAUGUAAGUGUGACUGGGUCACUUUGCUGUACAGUAGAAAAUUGACAGAAUGCUAUAAACCAGCUAUAAUGGAAAAAAUAAAAAUCAUUAAAAAAAAAAAAGAAGAAGUCCUUUUUGGAGUUCACUAUGUGAUGCAGUGGGUUAAGAAUCUGACUGCAGCAGCUCAGGUUGCCACAGAGGUUCAGAUCCCGUCACUGGCCUGGUGCAGUGGGUUACCAGUGGUGCAAAGAUCCCAUGUUGCCACAGCUGCUGCAUAGGUCACCACUGAGGCUAUCAGAUUCAGUCCCUGGCCCAGGAACUUCCAUAUGCUGUAGGUGUGGCAUAUGGAUUAUAAAAAAGAAGUCUUUUUUUUUUUUUUUUUUUUUUUUUUUUUUUUUUUUGGCCAUGCCCAAAAAACUUCCAUGUGCUGUGGGUGUGACCAAAAAAAACAAAAAAACAAAAAUCCUGAACGGGCCUUUUUUUUUUGUUUGUCUUUUUGCCUUUUCUAGGGCUGCUCCUGCGGCAUAUGGAGGUUCCCAGGCUAGGGGUCGAAGCGGAGCUGUAGCCGCCAGCCUACGCCAGAACCACAGCAACGAGGGAUCUGAGCCGAGUCUGCAACCUACACCAUAGCUCACAGCAACGCCGGAUCCUUAACCCACUGAGCAAGGCUGGGGAUUAAACCUGCGUCCUGGUGCAGCAGAGACACUGCCAGCGUUGUGCACGCCUAAGUGCAAAGAUUUUUUAAAAGUGUCUAGGCCACCCAUCUUACUCAGAUUUCUCUGGGGAUUCAGUAAAUUACCAUAUGUACAGCCAGGAUUUGCCGCAUAGUAAGUGUUCGGUAAGUGUUUGCUGAGCUUUUUAUAGUAACUUCAUUAAUGCAUUGAUCCCAGCAUGAUGUCAGACGGGGUUGGAGGGUGGGGCUCCUGAGGCCCAGAUGGCCAUUUUCAGGCUCGGCUGCACCUUUGACCCCCCACUCACUGGGCAUUUACCUUCUAGUAGCGACAGCAACAUCACCACCAUGUCCUUCUGUAGAUCCAGCAGCUCCUUCAACAGCUCGAUCUGGCUCGAGUCCUAGAGACGCCACAUCCCAGGUAUGCGAGGUCUCGUCUUGGCAGAGACACCCCCCCACCUCCAGCUGCUUCCACCCCUCCUCAGCCACCCAGCAGGGCCUAAGACCCCCUUCCUUUCCCCCUCUUACCUCCGAGGGGACCCGAGUCCAGACAUGUUCCUCGGAAGCAGGGGAAGGGGCAGAGAGACAAGAUUGUGGGGGUGGGGUUGGCACUUGGGGGGAAGUGUGCCCAGUGGGUGAUGUGUAGGGCAAGGACUGGCGGGACAGGAGGAUGGGAGGAGUAUGAGGCUCAGAGAGCAGAUGCUUGGGACCAAGAGAGACAGGGACAGACAGGGGCAAAUACCGGGGACAAUAACACAGACCAGAGAAGGGAUGAGAGCUCAGCAGUGCACCUGGCCUAUGGCAGGCAUUUGACACAUGUCUGUUGAAUGAAUGUGUGAUGGAAAAAAUGGGACUUUG